UACAGAGGGUGCAAGCGUUAAUCGGAAUUACUGGGCGUAAAGCGUGCGUAGACGGUUAUUUAAGUCAGAUGUGAAAUCCCCAGGCUCAACCUGGGAACUGCAUUUGAAACUCCCUUUCUUGAGUACCGGAGAGGAAAGUGGAAUUCCUGGUGUAGAGGUGGAAAUUCGUAGAUAUCAGGAGGAACACCAGUGGCGAAGGCGGCUUCUGGACCGGUAACUGACGCUGAGACGACGAAGCGUGGGGAGCAAACAGG
rnacentral:rRNA from 1 species